UUUUAUUGCCCGCGGUUGUGGCAAUAGAAGCCACCGGUACAUGGAGAGCUUGGCCACCCACCCACCGGGUCCCCCGCCCCUCCAGCCCCUUCCCCUCCCCACAUCCUCCAGCUCCCCUGUGGGUGUUGGGAUCUCCCCACCCCUGGUCACAGAAGGACAAGGGACUGUGGGAACCACACCACAGGAGCCACCACAUCUGGCCCCUGCAGUGACCUGGCUGAUGUCACCUGAGUAACAGGGGGAGUACGGGGUGACAUGGGAGCAGAAGCCACCAGCUGGGGGAGGCUGUCCACAGGAGAGAUCUCCACAACUCCACGGGGUCCCAAGCCUGAAUCAGUGAAAGCCCCACGCAGGGACGGGACAGCAGGGUCUUCCAGGCCUGGUCCUUCUCCUUCUUGGUGGGCGUGCGCUUCUUCUGCCGGGCAGCCAUGAUCUUGCGGAAGGCAUCCAUCACCUCGUUGUCGGCCAUGCGGACACGCUGCCGCAGCUCCUGCCGGUGCAGCUCCUCCUUGGCCAGCCUAGGGGGCACACGGGGGUGUCAGUCCCCACCGGGCAGCCCCCUGCUCGCCCCCAUCCCUGCCCGCUCGCUCUCACCGCAGCAGCUCGUGCUUCUUGGUGCGGUUGUGAGCGCUGAGGGCCUUGAGCUCCGCCUGCCUCUUGCGCAGCUCUGCCAGCACCUCAUCCUCCGAGUCCUCGGCCGGGCGGUCCUCUGACUCCAGCAGGCCCUGGGCCACCAGCUCCUCUUUGAUCCGACCCUCCAGGGACUUGGUGUGGGGGACGCUGCCAGGGCAGAGAGAGGCUGCUGCCCACCACACACCCUUUGCUCCCCGCGACUCACUGGGCAGGGAGCCAGCGCUGUGCUCAGUGCACCCAUGGGCAGUGCCCAGCUCCGGGCCUGCCUCAGCCACUCACCUGAAGGGCUUGUUCUGGCUGCGGGGAGAUGUGCCGGCACCGUCAGCUCCUGAGUCCUUGCCGGCAAUCUCGGGGAUGGGGGAGUCCUCCACGGGGGAGAUGAUGUUUUCCUAGCAAAGGGAGCAUGAGGGAAAGGGCCUGCAGGAGACGCUGCGUCAGGGGACCGAAGGGACACCCAUCCUCUGGCUGCUCAUGCUGGGCCUCCGACUUCUUCAGGAGGGCAUCGACGUCUGGGAGGAAGCAGGAGAGGGAAAUAAACAACCCCAAAGGUGACCCAACAGAGGUGAGCAGUGGGGCAGGGCAGCCUCAGCCCCUGGGGCUGGGGCUUGGCUCCACUGGGCACGAGUGCUCCCAGCCCCUCUAGGGAAAGGCAGGGGCGGGAUGGGGGCACCUUUGGUGUCCAGCUCAGUCAGUGGCCCCAGGACACCUUUCUUCUUGUCGGCAGCAGCUGCUGCCCGGGCUCCAUCCUUCUGCUCCUCCAGCAGGUCCUCCUGUGCCCAGCGCUGGGAAUAAUGCUUCCCCAGUGGCGGGAUCUGCGAGAGCAGGGCUCAGCACAGCUCCUGGAGCCUCCACCUUGCCUCCCACCUCCCCAGAACUACGGCAGCAUCCCGAGCGGGAACAUUUGCUGUGAGAUACUGGAGAGGAUGGGGAGAGAGGACACAGGAUGGGCUCGGGAGCUUUUCACCUUGUAAUGCUCAGCCUCAUCCUCUGGCGGCUUGAGCAGCUCCUCCAGGACUCUGACCUCCUCAUUAGUGAGAUCGGCACAGUACGGCUCCACUGAUGCCCAGAACCUGCAGGGACGGAUGGACUGUGAGGGAGAGCUUCAGGGGAGCACGUGGGAGCUGACACACGUCCCCCUUCCCCGGGGUACCUUAUCCCUUGGCUCUUGUGCUGGAUGCUCCAAAGAAGGAGACAGAUAAUCCCAAUGCCCCCCAACACCCACACACCUGUUUGGAGCAUCAUUUUUGGGAAUGCGGGGCACUUCAAUGGGAUCAUCCUGGAACUCAUACUCCUGGAUCUUGGGCUGCAAGUUCUUGGACUUGGGCCGGCCAGGGCCAGGCCCAGUCCCAUGGCCCCCUUUGCCCUCCAGCUUCUGCUUCUUGGGCUUCCCAUGUUUGACAGAUGUGCCCACAUCGUGGUCCUUGCUCAGCUUCAGGAACCGCCGGUCGCCUUUCUUAUCCUGCCAGUCUGUCAGGAUCUGGAAGAGAGUUCAUGUCCCAUCAGGUCCCAUGCCCGGGACUGGGCAGGGCCAGGCCGGGGGCAGCCCCUGGACGAGAAGGAGCGGGACAGGGAGCCUGUCCCUGACCCUACACAGUCCCAGCACCUGUGUCUCGGCCUCCAGGACGCGGAGGCGGCGGCUGGCGGAGGAGAGUAGCGUCUCCAGCUCCAGCUGCAGUGUGUCCAGCUCCUCGAUGCCGAUGCCGUCAUCUUCCGAGCGGGCCUGCACGGCCGUGUACCGGGGGCACACCUUCACGUGGUCCACCGACUUGAAGUCGUGGAACUGCAGCGGGCAGUCCUUCAGCUCGCUCAUGGCGGCGGACACCGGGCACCGGGGGGCUCCGGGGGCACCGAGCGGCGCUGGGGACAGGGGAA